AAUACCGUUCAGCAGUAACACGGGGGGAUUCAUCACAGUUGGGUAUGGCAGCUCUAUCCACACUCUCGCUCCUCAUUCGUUCACCAGCAUUCCUUCCCUCCUCUCUCUCACUCCCCCUUUCUCUCUCUAAACGCAGGCCUUGCUUCUGGAUAAACUUCCAUCUCCCUCUUCAAUCGAUCAACAAAAAGGGGAGCAGGCAUCUCUCCCUUCUUCUCUGCGCUACGCACCAAGAAUCCAACACCCCAGAACCAGAACCCGAACCAAAGAGCUCUGAGAAAACCCUUGAAAGCAAUGUCACUACUUUAAAGACGAGACUAUACGUCACUAAUUUGCCAUGGACUUGCACUUCAGAGGAUAUUAAGAACCUCUUUCAACAGUGUGGGGCAGUAAUAGACGUUGAGCUAAUGAAGUUCAAAGCCGGUAGAAACAGAGGGAUGGCGUUUGUUAUGAUGAGUUCAGAGGAUGAAGCUCUUGCAGCUCUUGUUAAAUUGAAUUCAUAUGAAUUUGGGGGCCGGACCAUUAAGGCCGAACUUGCGAAGAAAGCAAAGAAAAUUUCUCCUUCCGUUUCGUCAAAAAAAAUCUCUCCUCCUGUGGGAACUGUGGAAACAAGGCAUAAGGUUUAUGUUGGUAAUCUAGAUUGGAGGGUGAGAUCUAGUGAUCUCAGGGAAUUCUUCACAAAACACAGUAAUGCCCUCUCUGCUAGAGUAGUCUAUGGGGGAACAAAGGGGAAACCAGCUGGUUAUGGUUUUGUUAGCUUUGCUUCAAAAGAAGAUGCAGAGGCAGCUGUAGCUACACUUGAGGGAAAGGAGUUAAAUGGAAGAUCACUUCGUCUGAGAAUAGCCCGAGAUGUACCAAGUGAUUCUAGUGACAAUGCAAAAGAGGAUGAAGGGGCAUCAGAAGGAAUAAGUGAUGUUGAAAAUCUACCUAAUGAUGGAGUGGAUAAUGAAAUCCAAUUAACGGAAGCUAGCAAAUGAAAACAUGUUGAAAUACUGAGUAGUAUUAUAACGCUGGCCUCUAUGAUCAAGGAAUAAAGAUUGUAGUGUAUCUGGAGGAUGAGAUUACUUGAGGGCCGAGGAGGCAUGCCUCAGGUGGACCUAUCAAGAAUUUGAGACUCUCUCAACUUGGACUAACAUCAACUGGGAGGCUUUUUUCUUUCUUGCCAUCCUGCUCCCUCUACUGAUGAGAUGGUUUUGUCAUAUGGGUUUAUUAAAUGGCUACGGUGAUUUCCUUUUUUAUCGUUCCAUGAAUGAAUAUUUCAUCACACUUUGAGGAAAGAGAUACAUAAAUUGAGAUGUUUUUGGAGCCUGGUGAUAAGUCCACUAGUUAACAAGGAAACAAGAUGAAGAAUUCAAAGAGCUUCUGGACAUUUGGUUAAAAGCUAAGGUCACUGACUAUUUGAAGGUUUCAAUGUCCCAAUGGCCCAACACACUAGGGCUCUCUAUACAAGCCUUUUCCUUGAAAUUCAAGAGGCCAUGACUUGAAUCUUAAUGAGAUGUAUGAAGCAGAAAAGGGGAAUAUAUCCCUUGGAAGAGUGGCGGUUUAUUAUUUAAUGUGAUGUUAGACAUUUCUAAUGUCCUUAACCAGCCAGACAUAAGCCAACAGUUGGCUGGUUUAUCUAUCAGCCAUCAAGUUUUUGGGAUUCUCUCUUCUACUUUUUUGUAAGGUUGUUAAUGUAAUUCUCUUAUUUUAGGUUGUAAGGACAUGUUUAGACAAUUAAUUUUAUCAAGGGUAAACUAUCUUAUUUGUAAUUGAUAUACUCUACAUCAUAGUAUGUUUUUACUAUUCCAACUCAA